rnacentral:rRNA from 1 species
AGCGAACGCUGGCGGCAGGCUUAACACAUGCAAGUCGAGCGAGCAUAGCAAUAUGUCAGCGGCAGACGGGUGAGUAACGCGUGGGAACGUACCUUUUGGUUCGGAACAACACAGGGAAACUUGUGCUAAUACCGGAUAAGCCCUUACGGGGAAAGAUUUAUCGCCGAAAGAUCGGCCCGCGUCUGAUUAGCUAGUUGGUGAGGUAAUGGCUCACCAAGGCGACGAUCAGUAGCUGGUCUGAGAGGAUGAUCAGCCACAUUGGGACUGAGACACGGCCCAAACUCCUACGGGAGGCAGCAGUGGGGAAUACUGGACAAUGGGCGCAAGCCUGAUCCAGCCAUGCCGCGUGAGUGAUGAAGGCCCUAGGGUUGUAAAGCUCUUUUGUGCGGGAAGAUAAUGACGGUACCGCAAGAAUAAGCCCCGGCUAACUUCGUGCCAGCCGCCGCGGUAA